AAUCCCGUUGUGCGGCGUACUUACCAUGCAGUCGAACGGGAUCCAUCGGGCUUUGCCUGGUGGUGAGAGUGGCGAACGGGUGAGUAAUGCGUGACCGACCUGCCCCAUGCACCGGAAUAGCUCCUGGAAACGGGUGGUAAUGCCGGAUGCUCCAUCACACCGCAUGGUGUGUUGGGAAAGCCUUUGCGGCAUGGGAUGGGGUCGCGUCCUAUCAGCUUGAUGGCGGGGUAACGGCCCACCAUGGCUUCGACGGGUAGCCGGCCUGAGAGGGCGACCGGCCACAUUGGGACUGAGAUACGGCCCAGACUCCUACGGGAGGCAGCAGUGGGGAAUAUUGCACAAUGGGCGCAAGCCUGAUGCAGCGACGCCGCGUGAGGGAUGGAGGCCUUCGGGUUGUAAACCUCUUUUGUUAGGGAGCAAGGCACUUUGUGUUGAGUGUACCUUUCGAAUAAGCACCGGCUAACUACGUGCCAGCAGCCGCGGUAAUACGUAGGGUGCAAGCGUUAUCCGGAAUUAUUGGGCGUAAAGGGCUCGUAGGCGGUUCGUCGCGUCCGGUGUGAAAGUCCAUCGCUUAACGGUGGAUCCGCGCCGGGUACGGGCGGGCUUGAGUGCGGUAGGGGAGACUGGAAUUCCCGGUGUAACGGUGGAAUGUGUAGAUAUCGGGAAGAACACCAAUGGCGAAGGCAGGUCUCUGGGCCGUUACUGACGCUGAGGAGCGAAAGCGUGGGGAGCGAACAGGAUUAGAUACCCUGGUAGUCCACGCCGUAAACGGUGGAUGCUGGAUGUGGGGCCCGUUCCACGGGUUCCGUGUCGGAGCUAACGCGUUAAGCAUCCCGCCUGGGGAGUACGGCCGCAAGGCUAAAACUCAAAGAAAUUGACGGGGGCCCGCACAAGCGGCGGAGCAUGCGGAUUAAUUCGAUGCAACGCGAAGAACCUUACCUGGGCUUGACAUGUUCCCGACGAUCCCAGAGAUGGGGUUUCCCUUCGGGGCGGGUUCACAGGUGGUGCAUGGUCGUCGUCAGCUCGUGUCGUGAGAUGUUGGGGUUAGUCCCGCAACGAGCGCAACCCUCGCCCCGUGUUGCCAGCGGAUGU
rnacentral:rRNA from 1 species